rnacentral:rRNA from 1 species
AUUGAACGCUGGCGGCAGGCCUAACACAUGCAAGUCGAGCGGAUGAAGGGAGCUUGCUCCUGGUUUCAGCGGCGGACGGGUGAGUAAUGCCUAGGAAUCUGCCUGGUAGUGGGGGAUAACGUCCGGAAGCGGGCGCUAAUACCGCAUACGUCCUGAGGGAGAAAGUGGGGGAUCUUCGGACCUCACGCUAUCAGAUGAGCCUAGGUCGGAUUAGCUAGUUGGUGGGGUAAAGGCCUACCAAGGCGACGAUCCGUAACUAGUCUGAGAGGAUGAUCAGUCACACUGGAACUGAGACACGGUCCAGACUCCUACGGGAGGCAGCAGUGGGGAAUAUUGGACAAUGGGCGAAAGCCUGAUCCAGCCAUGCCGCGUGUGUGAAGAAGGUCUUCGGAUUGUAAAGCACGUUAAGUUGGGAGGAAGGGCAGUAAGUUAAUACCUUGCUGUUUUGACGUUACCGACAGAAUAAGCACCGGCUAACUUCGUG